rnacentral:rRNA from 1 species
GUAGUCCACGCCCUAAACGAUGAAUACUAGAUGUCGGAGUUCCUAAUUGCUUCGGUGUCGCAGCUAACGCAUUAAGUAUUCCGCCUGGGAAUUACGGUCGCAAGAUUAAAACUCAAAGGAAUUGACGGGGGCCCGCACAAGCGGUGGAGCAUGUGGUUCAAUUCGAUGCUACGCGAAAAACCUUACCUAGGUUUGACAUCCCGCGCUACCCCAUGAAAGUGGGCGUUCUCUUCGGAGACGCGGAGACAGGUGCUGCAUGGCUGUCGUCAGCUCGUGUUGUGAGAUGUUGGGUUAAGUCCCGCAACGAGCGCAACCCUCGCGGUUAGUUGCCAGCAUUAAGUUGGGCACUCUAAUCGGACCGCUGGCCUAUAAGGCAGA